rnacentral:rRNA from 1 species
UACGAAGGUGGCAAGCGUUGUUCGGAAUCACUGGGCUUAAAGCGCAUGUAGGCGGCCCUUCAAGCGUCUUGUGAAAUCCCCCGGCUCAACCGGGGAAUUGCUGGGCGAACUGUUGGGCUUGAGGCAAGUAGGGGUGCGUGGAACUCUUGGUGGAGCGGUGAAAUGCGUAGAUAUCAAGAGGAACGCCGGCGGCGAAAGCGGCGCACUGGGCUUGUCCUGACGCUGAGAUGCGAAAGCUAGGGGAGCAAACGGG